rnacentral:rRNA from 1 species
AUACGUAGGGGGCGAGCGUUGUCCGGAAUGAUUGGGCGUAAAGGGCGCGUAGGCGGCCCGGUAAGUCUGGUGUGAAAGUCCUGUUUUUAAGAUGGGAAUUGCUUUGGAUACUGUCGGGCUUGAGUGCAGGAGAGGUAAGUGGAAUUCCCAGUGUAGCGGUGAAAUGCGUAGAGAUUGGGAGGAACACCAGUGGCGAAGGCGACUUACUGGACUGUAACUGACGCUGAGGCGCGAAAGUGUGGGGAGCAAACAGGAUUAGAUACCCUGGUAGUCCACACGGUAAACGAUGAAUGCUAGGUGUAGGGGGUAUCGACCCCUUCUGUGCCGCAGUCAACACAAUAAGCAUUCCGCCUGGGGAGUACGGCCGCAAGGUUGAAACUCAAAGGAAUUGACGGGG